rnacentral:rRNA from 1 species
AUUGAACGCUGGCGGCAGGCCUAACACAUGCAAGUCGAGCGAGCGGCGGACGGGUGAGGAAUGUAUGGGAAACUGACCGAUGGAGGGGGAUAACUACUGGAAACGGAAGCUAAUACAGUAUACCAUCAGAUGGGCCCAGAUGGGAUUAGCUAGUAGGUGAGGUAAUGGCUCACCUAGGCGACGAGCCCUAGCUGGUCUGAGAGGAUGACCAGCCACACUUGAACGGAGACACGGUCCAGACUCCUACGGUAGGCAGCAGUGGGGAAUAUUGCCCAAUGGUCGCAAGCCUGAUGCAGCCAUGCCGCGUGUGUGAAGAAGGCCUUCGGGUUUUAAAGCACUUUCAGCGGGGAGGCGUUACCCGCAGAAGAAGCACCGGCUAACUCCGUGCCAGCAGCCGCGGUAAUUC